AGAGUUUGAUCCUGGCUCAGAACGAACGCUGGCGGCGCGUUUUAAGCAUGCAAGUCGAACGGUAAUAGGGUGCUUGCACUCUAUGAGAGUGGCGAACGGGUGAGUAACACGUAGAUGAUCUAUCCUUGGAUCCGGGAUAGCCUGUGGAAACACAGGGCAAUACUGGAUACGACCUUAUCUGUGAAGGGAUAAGGGGAAAGUCGCUUCGGCGACGUCCGGGGCUGAGUCUGCGGCUCAUUAGCUAGUUGGUAGGGUAAUGGCCUACCAAGGCGACGAUGAGUAGCCGGCCUGAGAGGGUGAUUGGCCACACUGGGACUGAGACACGGCCCAGACUCCUACGGGAGGCAGCAGCUAAGAAUCUUCCGCAAUGGGGGCAACCCUGACGGAGCGACGCCGCGUGAAUGAAGAAGGCCGGAAGGUUGUAAAGUUCUUUUCCUGGGGGAGAAUAAUGAUUGGAGGAAAUGCCAGUCAGAUGACGUGAACCAGGGAAUAAGCCCCGGCUAAUUACGUGCCAGCAGCCGCGGUAACACGUAAGGGGCAAGCGUUGUUCGGAUUUAUUGGGCGUAAAGGGCGUGUAGGCGGUUAAGUGUGUCUGGUGUGAAAGACUCCGGCUCAACCGGAGGGCCGCGCUGGAAACUGCUUAACUAGAGUGAUGGAGGGGGAGCUGGAAUUCCUGGUGUAGGGGUGAAAUCUGCAGAGAUCAGGAAGAACACCGGAGGCGAAGGCGAGCUCCUGGCCAUAUACUGACGCUGAGGCGCGAAAGCGUGGGGAGCGAACAGGAUUAGAUACCCUGGUAGUCCACGCUGUAAACGAUGUGCACUAGGUGUUGGUCCGUUGAGGAUCAGUGCCGUAGCUAACGCGUUAAGUGCACCGCCUGGGGAGUAUGCUCGCAAGGGUGAAACUCAAAGGAAUUGACGGGGGCCCGCACAAGCUGUGGAGCAUGUGGUUUAAUUCGAUACGCGAGAAACCUUACCAGGGCUUGACAUAGGCAUGACGGUUGUAGAGAUACAGCUUCUCUUCGGAGCAUGUUUACAGGUGCUGCAUGGCUGUCGUCAGCUCGUGCUGUGAAGUGUUGGGUUAAGUCCCGCAACGAGCGCAACCCUUGCUGUCUGUUGCCAACAGGUAAUGCUGGGGACUCAGACGGUACUGCCGGUGACAAACCGGAGGAAGGUGGGGACGACGUCAAGUCAUCAUGGCCCUUAUGUCCUGGGCUACACACGUGCUACAAUGGCCGGUACAGAGCGACGCGAAACCGCGAGGUGGAGCAAAUCGCAGAAAACCGGUCCCAGUUCGGAUUGAAGUCUGAAACCCGACUUCAUGAAGGUGGAAUCGCUAGUAAUCGCGCAUCAGCAUGGCGCGGUGAAUAUGUUCCCGGGCCUUGUACACACCGCCCGUCACACCACCCGAGUUGGGGGUACCCGAAGUCGCUCGUCUAACCUGUAAGGGAGGACGGUGCCGAAGGUAUGCCUGGUAAGGGGGCUGAAGUCGUAACAAGGUA
rnacentral:rRNA from 1 species